GAUGAACGCUGGCGGCGUGCCUAAUACAUGCAAGUCGAGCGAACGGACGAGAAGCUUGCUUCUCUGAUGUUAGCGGCGGACGGGUGAGUAACACGUGGAUAACCUACCUAUAAGACUGGGAUAACUUCGGGAAACCGGAGCUAAUACCGGAUAAUAUUUUGAACCGCAUGGUUCAAAAGUGAAAGACGGUCUUGCUGUCACUUAUAGAUGGAUCCGCGCUGCAUUAGCUAGUUGGUAAGGUAACGGCUUACCAAGGCAACGAUGCAUAGCCGACCUGAGCGGGUGAUCGGCCACCUGGGAAGUGAGACACGGUCCAGACUCCGACGGGGGGCAGCAGUAGGGAAUCUUCCGCAAUGGGGGAAAGCCUGACGGAGCAACGCCGCGUGAGUGAUGAAGGUCCUCGGAUCGUAAAACUAUGUUAUUAGGGAAGAACAUAUGUGUAAGUAACUGUGCACAUCUUGACGGUACCUAAUCAGAAAGCCACGGCUAACUACGUG
rnacentral:rRNA from 1 species